rnacentral:rRNA from 1 species
GGCCCUACGGGACGCAGCAGUGGGGGAUAUUGCACAAUGGGGAAACCCUGAUGCAGCGACGCCGCGUGAGCGAUGAAGUAUUUCGGUAUGUAAAGCUCUAUCAGCGGGGAAGAAGGAAGACGGUACCCGACUAAGAAGCCCCGGCUAACUACGUGCCAGCAGCCGCGGUAAUACGUAGGGGGCGAGCGUUAUCCGGAUUUACUGGGUGUAAAGGGAGCGUAGACGGCGUCGCAAGUCUGAAGUGAAAGCCCGUGGCUCAACCGCGGAACCGCUUUGGAAACUGUGAGGCUGGAGUGCUGGAGAGG